CUUCAUCCGUAUCUCACACACGUCUCCCCCUUUUCUCAUUGACGAGAGCUUCGGCUGCAGGGGCGCCACGAGGAAUGGAAGGUUGAGUUCGUUCGACGGCCGGAGCAGCAGGAGUAAGGAGCCAACGGUGGUCAAUGGCUAACCUCUAUCUCCUCUCUCUCUCUCUCUCUCUCUCUAUGUGUGUGUGUGUGUGUGGUUGAGAAGAAGGCCAAAUAGAAGAAGAAGAAUUUGGCUCGAAAGUCUUGCCGAGGUGCCUCUAAUGUCUCUAUUUUCCUAUUACGUUCUCCACCACUCACAUCUAAAUUUGAUAUUAUAUGUUUUUUUCCUAAACAUGUCGUGUACAGAUCUAAGGAUUUGUAUUUACAGGUAGGAAUUCUAUACAUUAUGAUGUAUAAGAAAGAAAUAUCUUAUUGAUUUAUUUGGAGAUUAGCCUUUUAGUAUAGUAUGAUAUUUUAAGAUAUUCACAAAAGCUGUAUUUGAUAUGUCCACAUUUAUAUAACUAUGUAGCCAUGCAUAUUUCAUCUGUUUUCCUGACCGAAUGAAGCACUUGUCUUGGAGAUUAGGCAGAUCCUAGAAUGAAGCAUUGUUCAAAAGAACUGUUAUUGCCAACUGUGUACGCUAUGUUCUGGUUUAUGCUCUGAUGCACUUUCCCGUUCCUGGUCAGGGUACGAUGAAAUUAGGCAGAAUGGCAAGAUCUGUAGCAUCUACUGUGAACACAAAGCGGAGAAAAUGGAUUGCUUCCUCGUCCGGUAACCCAAUUAUGUUGCUUUCUUUCGUUUUAUUUCUCCAUACAUGCAAAUUAGUUUAUUCUGGAGCUUCUCCAUAAUAAGAGGUACCGUGCAACCUGCUUAUGAUAUCAUAGAAGUAACAUUUGCCUGCAUCCCUCCUGAACUCUACAAUAUUUCAGUUUGAUAUAGGUUGUAGUUAGACUUUCUGCUUCUUGAAAUUGAACUUACAAAGGAUGAGAGGGUAGCUAGGCACAACCGCGCCAUCCACGUGUAUGUGAAUAGUUCGGCGAGGGCGGGAAGGGCAGCAGCGAGCGAAAGAAAAAGAGCAGGGCAGCGAAAAAUUGCGAGGGCGGAAAGGGCAGCAGCGAGCGAAAGAAAAAGAGCAGGGCAGCGAAAAAGGAACGAGCCAGCUCGCAUCCUUUUCGAGAGCUCGCGUCCUUCUCACGAACCCUACCGCCGCCCCGCUCCUCCUCCUCCCACCUCAAUCGCCUCCCCCUAGCCGCCGCCUCCCACCUCAGUCGCGUCCCCCCCUCGCAUCUCGUCCGCCCCGGGUGCGGAGGCGAGCUUCCCGGCGGCGGCGCUGGAUUCGAUCUGCAGGAGAGAGAGGGAGGUGUGGCAGCCUCCGCACACCCGCACCGCUCCGCGCCCCCUCUUUGCUCCACCAUGCAGCCUCCUCCUCCCCGCCCACCUCCAGUGCAGCUCGUCGUAGUGGAGACCAAGGUCUUCGUGGCGGGGUGGAGCUGCAGCGGAGGGAAGGAUGCUGGACGGAUCCGGCGCCUGCAGGCUGAAGCAGCAGGAGUCGGUGGAUUUGGCGGAUUCUGACGGGGUCGUUGACGGAGGCUGGGAGCUCGGGGGCGCCACGAGGAAUGGAAGGUUGAGUUCGUUCGACGGCCGGAGCAGCAGGAGUAAGGAGCCAACGGUGGUCAAUGGCUAACCUCUAUCUCCUCUCUCUCUCUCUGUGGUUGAGAAGAAGGCCAAAUAGAAGAAGAAGAAUUUAGCUCGAAAGUCUUGCCGAGGGUACGAUGAAAUUGGGCACAAUGGCAAGAUCUGUAGCAUCUACUGUGAACACAAAGCGGAGAAAAGGGAUUGCUUCCUCGUCCGCGCCGUAGGGGCUGUCGAGGUAAGCUCCAUUGACCCCCACCACGACUUGCCCUCCCAAGCUUUCCUCCUCUCCGCCAUCCACGCGGCCAUCGGCGGUGCAGUAGGGGAGGCCACUCAGGUCAGGUGAGCAGCGGCAGAAAUCCACGGUGUGUUGCAAAGAACCAUGCUGAGGAUGGCUCGAUGCAAUAAGCCAUCAUCUCGACUGGGCCUGUGGCCCCAGCGGGAGGUGCCUAGGGCCGUGCCCAUCGACCAGGGCAGGGGGGUGCCUACUAUGACAUGGACGAGUACACCAAACUGAUGUGAGCCGCCGCCAAUCCUAGCCCGUCGCCAAGCUCGUGAUGCUGGAGUGCUCCGCCCAAGUGUCUGAUCUAGGGGCCAAUUGGAAGGACAGGUUUCCUUCUUCACUUUACCAGACUUCAAAUGUACUAUCUAGCAGACUAGCACGUGUGCAUAUGAUGACUCCUUUUAUCUUUGAUGAAGGUAUUGGGAUUUCUUUAGGGGAAAUUGUAACAAUGUUGUUUGAAAUGGUGCUUCUCAAUUAUAGGUGGAAAGCCUGGCAUGGAGGCACAUAGGCUGCUGAUUAUGUUUCUGGAUUGGCCCUUGAGAAGGAGACCAAAGCAAACUUCAGCAGGAGUGUGUUCGAUAGAAUUGGCAAUGGGAUCGGGAGGUGGUGUCCAAGAAUUAUGUGGUUUGAUGGCACUAGGGGCAGGAGUGCUGAUUUAAUCAGACUAAGAAGAUGCCUAAAUAAGCUGUGAGGCUGCCUAUAUAUAAUUGUAUUUCUAAGUCAUUGUACUAUAUGUAAACCAAUUUAAGUCAUUCUACCAUCUGUAAUACAAUCCACAUUGCAUUAUCUUUCCAUCGAUA